GCUUAGGUCGUUAACCAUCAUUAUACCUAGUAGAUCAAAUGUGAACCCUUAAGUGUAUUCAAACUUCCACGAUUUAAGCUGUUCUAUGUAUUUAACAUUUUCGUUCACUGCUCAUACAAAAUAAGCAAAUUAUCAGUGCAUUACAUACUUAUAUUUUUUCCUUAGUUAACUGUUAUGCCUAUUUGUUUUUGUUCACACAGUGUUGUUA
rnacentral:lncRNA from 1 species